UCAGUCUACCUGUGUGCGAGGCUAAUGAGCACAUGUACUACUCUGUUCUCCCCCGUGAAUGACUCUGUGUGCCAGAGAAGGAGAAGCUGUCGCCUGUUGAUCCACUGAUUAUUUCUCCUUGUUACAGGUAUGUUUAAUUAGUUCUGUUUUAUAAAAGAAAAGAGAUUUAGUUGAAUGUGUAUUGUACGUAGAGUGUUACGGGAGAAAAUCCGAUUUAAUGAUUUAUGCAGUGCGUGACGCACGUGGUGCAGCCUACACAUAGUACGGUGCUAAACAUAUUGAAUGAUUAAUUUCACUAUGUAACGUAUAGGAAUACUGAUUUAUUCAUACAAAUGGUAUUAUAAUUUUUUGUUUUAUUUCACUAUAGUAUGUUUUAAUGUAUAAAUACUUGAAUUAAUGCAUAAGUUAAUAAUGUAAUAGAUUUUAUAUCUAAUGUAAUAUUGUAAAAUAUUUAUUGUAAUGUAUUAAUAGGAAUAUUAAUGUGAUGUAUAAGAAAGACAAGAGACAUAUUGUAAGCAGUAUAAUUUAUUUACAUUUAUUUAAUUCUUUUCCAUUAUUGUAUAAUGUCAGUCUACCUGUGUGCGAGGCUAAUGAGCACAUGUACUACUCUGUUCUCCCCGUGAAUGACUCUGUGUGCCAGAGAGGGAGAAGCUGUCGCCUGUUGAUCCACUGAUUAUUUCUCCUUGUUACAGAUUGAGUAAAAGCAAGUGCUGAAUCUCAUCAACGAGUGGUCGUGUGGUCUUUAUGUGUGUGAGGGUGACCGGUCCAAACAUGCUACAUAUCAGGUCUCAGUUGCGCAGUGUUGGGAUGCCAUCGCCAGCUGAAGCCCGGUACACCCCUCUUCCCCUGCAAACCUCUCACGUUAUAUACCGUCACAAUGUGCGACUGGCACCAGCGAUGUGACGGUACUGCGUACUUCGGAGCAAUCAGAGGGUUCUCUUUGCUCCAAAUACUAAGAAAAAGUGCAUAGCUGCCUGAAAGCAGUUAUUCAGAGUUUAAUUUCAGCUUUCAAAGCUAUGCUUAGUGUUUUGAUUUAUGGCACAGCAAGUGCAGCACAUGCCUCUGAGACUGGAGGAUGGGGCCCAGAGGAGGUGCACAGUUAUAUUAGAUCCUUACUGAAAGUGAGGAGACGAGACAAGAAGAGGACGACGACUGCCUGCAUUUCAGAGACAGACAGACAGAGCGAUAGAGGGAUAAAGAAAG